UUUUUUCACAUGGCUUGUUUGGAAACAUGGUAAGUUGGAAAACAGACAGUUGAGAGGUUUGCUAAGAAAUUGAAUAAUAUUUCAAGAAAAAUAUAAAUAUAUUUUUUGUCCCGAAAUCUCUCAAAAGUACAGGUCUACAUAUGUAUUCCUGUCAAUAAGUGUCAAAGAGUUGAUCCAGGUAUCCUGAAGGCCCAUCAGAACAGCUUCAUCUUGUAUAGCAAUCUGUGAUUGCCUAAGGAGCUAACUUUCUUGGUGGACCCAUGAGAGGUGUGCUGUCAGUAUGGAGAAAAAAAACAAUGCACUAAUUGUUGCCAGCUUUGAAAAUGUAGUUGAGAACAAGCAUUAGAUCUGAAAGAAAAGUUCAAGGGCCCUUCGACAUGGUUACCUCUGAUUAUCAUUUAGCAUCCUCUUCUUCACAUGAAAAAACAUAAGGAAGUAAAACCCAAUUUUGGUGAAUGCAACCCCCAGCUCUGCAUAUCAGAUUUUAGAAUUGAUAUUCUUUCCUUUUCCAAUAUGGUUUUCUUUUGUCCAGAAAAAAAAAAAUGAAUGUACCAAGAAAAUGGUCAUCAGACUCACUAACCUACUCUUGCUCCAUUAGUUAUCCACAUUAGGGAAGGAAAAAUAAAUUACAUAUUAAAAUUGCAGUGACAUGGGUACCUCUUCCUGUAAUUCACUGGGACUAAAAUCACUGGAUUAUCACGUUAGUUCCUCUCUAG
rnacentral:lncRNA from 10 species